UUCCCCUUCGGGGGACAAAGUGACAGGUGGUGCAUGGUUGUCGUCAGCUCGUGUCGUGAGAUGUUGGGUUAAGUCCCGCAACGAGCGCAACCCUUAAGCUUAGUUGCCAUCAUUAAGUUGGGCACUCUAAGUUGACUGCCGGUGACAAACCGGAGGAAGGUGGGGAUGACGUCAAAUCAUCAUGCCCCUUAUGAUUUGGGCUACACACGUGCUACAAUGGACAAUACAAAGGGCAGCGAAACCGCGAGGUCAAGCAAAUCCCAUAAAGUUGUUCUCAGUUCGGAUUGUAGUCUG
rnacentral:rRNA from 1 species